rnacentral:rRNA from 1 species
GGACAAUGGGCGCAAGCCUGAUCCAGCCAUGCCGCGUGUCUGAAGAAGGCCUUCGGGUUGUAAAGGACUUUUGUCAGGGAAGAAAAGGCUGUUGCUAAUAUCAGCGGCUGAUGACGGUACCUGAAGAAUAAGCACCGGCUAACUACGUGCCAGCAGCCGCGGUAAUACGUAGGGUGCGAGCGUUAAUCGGAAUUACUGGGCGUAAAGCGGGCGCAGACGGUUACUUAAGCAGGAUGUGAAAUCCCCGGGCUCAACCCGGGAACUGCGUUCUGAACUGGGUGACUCGAGUGUGUCAGAGGGAGGUAGAAUUCCACGUGUAGCAGUGAAAUGCGUAGAGAUGUGGAGGAAUACCGAUGGCGAAGGCAGCCUCCUGGGAUAACACUGACGUUCAUGCCCGAAAGCGUGGGUAGCAAACAGGAUUAGAUACCCUGGUAGUCCACGCCCUAAACGAUGUCAAUUAGCUGUUGGGCAACUUGAUUGCUUAGUAGCGUAGCUAACGCGUGAAAUUGACCGCCUGGGGAGUACGGUCGCAAGAUUAAAACUCAAAGGAAUUGACG